rnacentral:rRNA from 1 species
UGCUUAUAACAUAGUGUUAAUUCAUUGGAUCCAAUUAUAAAUCUUCAGUUAACUGCGCUCAAUCUAGAGUAGUACUGGGAUGGGUGACCUCCUGAGAAGUCCUAGUAUUUUAGAUGC